CCACCGCGCCCGGCCUGGAUUUAUUUUGUAAGGCUGAACCUCAGAAUGAGGCGGUUUAGAGCAGUGCUUCUUGAACUUUAUUGUGCACCAGAAUCCCCUGGGGAUCGUACUAAAAUGCAGGUUCUGAUUGAGUAGGGCUUGGGUGGAGCCUGAGAUUCUGCUUUUCUAAUAAGCUUCCAAGUGAUGUCAGUAUUGCCAUUGUGGGGAUCACUCUUUGAGUAGCAGAAGUUAAGAGGAACGCAGCGCAUAUGUCCCCUGAAGGCAGCCGAGGUUCUGAGAGAGAGGGAGGAAGUGGCCAGGCAGUCUAUGCCUAACCGCUCCUUCCAGACUCACAGGAACAUUCUAGUAAUGGGGCUCACUUCUCAUGGAGGGAGGCAUCAGGAGUGCUUCUACACUAGCAAGGUCAUUGGUGAGGGGAGCAUUUGUUUGAGUGGUGCCUAAUUGGAGUAGGUUCUAGGGAAAGUGGGAGGAGAGGAGGGUGAAACAGUACAAACAAUUCUUUCAUAGAUUUUUCUGUAAAAGGGAAAAGACAAAUGGAGUAACUGGAAGGGGAUAUGGGGUAAAGGAGAGGCUUUUGUUUUAAAGAAGGGAAAUAGCAUAGCUUGUGCAUGUACUAAUUGGAAAAAAUGAACUGGGAGGGAAAACCUGGCAGUGGGGAAGACAGUGAGGUGGAGAGAGUUGUGGAGUGGGCCUGAGGGACUGGGGGCCAGUGCACAGCAGAGAGGUAGGUCCUAGAUCCAACUGAGCACCCUGGCUUAUAUCCACAGUGCUGCCGACAGCUCAGUGAUAGGAACACUGCAAGUCUCUGGAUUGCUAGGACUCUUCAGUCUUAAGUUAAUGUCUGGCUGGGCGUGGUGGCUCAUGCCUGUAAUCCCAGCACUUUGGGAGGCUAAGGCGGGUGGAUCACCUGAGCUCAGGAGUUCAAAACCAGCCUGGCCAACAUGGUGAAACCCUGUCUCUACUAAAAAUACAAAAAUUAGCUGGGCAUGGUGGUGGGUACCUGUAAUCCCAGCUACUCGGGAGGCUGAGGCUGGAGAAUCACUUGAACCCGGGAGGCAGAGGUUGCGGUGAGCCGGGAUCACACCAUUGCACUCCAGCCUGGGCUACAGAGCGAGAUUUUUGUCUCAAAAAAAAAAAAAAAAAAAAAGUUAGUUAAUGUCAGCUCUAGGGCUUAUGUCAGGCCACGUCUUCCUGAAACUGGACUUGCAGUUUAAAAUGGGAGAUCAUCCCCGAAUCAGUGCAUAUUAUGCUGGUUGUGCCCUCAACUAGACCUCACCCAGGAGCAUGUAGGAUUGAAUCCUCACUAGGGUUGCACGCUUAGUAAAUCCCCAUGUCUCUUGCAAAGCUGAUAGUUUGGGAAGUCAGGUGACCCAUGGAAGCAUGCAUGAGUCUGGUGCGCUGCUUUUCUUUUGUUGUUGUUGUUUUGAGACGGAGUCUUGCUCCGUCGCCCAGGCUGGAGUGCAGUGGCACAAUCUCGGCUCACUGCAAGCUCCGCCUCCUGGGUUCACGCCAUUCUCCUGCCUCAGCUUCCUGAGUAGCUGGGACUACAGGCGCCCGCCACCACGCCUGGCUAAUUUUUUGUAUUUCUUAGUAGAGACAGGGUUUCACCGUGUUAGCCAGGAUGGUCUUGAUCUCCUGACCUUGUGAUCUGCCCACCUCGGCCUCCCAAAGUGCUGGGAUUACAGGUGUGGGCCACUGCGCCUGGCCCGGGCUCGUGCGCUGCUUUUCUAUCUGGUUCUUCUUGUUAUUCCACUUGCGGUUGGAUGGGGAGAUAUUCCACUUUCCCUUAGGAACUCUUGUCCCUGCACAGACCAUUUUAGCUAUUCUGAGCACAUCACAAGCAUACUCCUCUGGGGUGAGAAUAUAUAGCCUCUGGGCUUUUUCAGAAUUGCUCCUUCUGCUACUCUGGAAGCUAACGUGGAAUGAUUGCUUGAGUCCAGCAGUUCAAGGCCAGCAUGGGCAACAAAGCAAGAACCUGUUUCUUUAAAAAAAAAAAAAAAAAAAAAAAAAGGCGGGGGGAGCAGGCAUGGUGGCUUACACCUGUAAUCCCAGCACUUUGAGAGGCCGUGGCAGGAGGAUCACUUGAAGCCAGAGCUCAAAACCAGCCUGGGCAACUUAGUGAGCCCCCAUUUCUACAAAAAAUAAAAACAAUUAACUGGGCAUGGUGGUACACACCUGUAGCCUCAGCUACUCAGGAAGCUGAGAUGGGAGGAUCCCUUGAGCCCAGGAGUUUGAGACUGCAGUGAGCUAUGAUGGUGCCACUGGCGCCUGGGUAACAAAGCAAGACCCUGUCUCAAAAAAAAAAAAAAAAAAAAAAAGGAGCUGGGCAUAGUGGCAUGUGCCUGUAAAUGAAAGGCAUCAUUUCAUGCAAGCUCCUCUGAGCCCAGGAGUUCCAGCCUAGCCCAGGCAACAGGGCAAGACCACGUCUCAAAAAAAAAAAAAGUACUCUUUCCACCUAAAAUAUAUUCAGGUCAUUUGAGUUCAGUUUGAGUUCAGCUACGAGAAUUAUUUAGUUGAGUGAGUGUCAGAGCUGGGAUUUUCAAAUCUGCCCUUACUGGUAUGUUGCUUUACACACCCUCUUACGUAAAUCAAACUAGGAUUCCACCCUGGGAGGUUUGCAUAGAGGGCUGUUCUUGUAGAACUUGUGCUCAUGCUUUGAUUUGGGAUUUGGGGAGUUAGGGCAAGCCAGAAAGUUUUUCUGGUGGAUAAUAAUGUGGGUUGACUUUCUUAAGCAUUUUAAGCCAAGCACUUGAGUUUCUAACAACUAAAAAGCUAAGUCAGCCUGACACAGCUCUAGCGCGCCCUGGCUUGAUUCUGUUCAUCCCCAGGGGGAGACUUGCCUUUGUUCCAGUCCUGCUCUCCCAAGCCAGCUUACUGUAGUUUUCCAGCAAUUCUGAGAAGCAGUAUUUUUUACUGCUGAUUAGAACCUUAACAUGGAAAUGGAAAGUUUGUGUAGCAUGUAACAUUAUUAGAAGGGAAAACAUGACUAUAUGAUUAGAUACAUAUUGAUUUUAUGCAAUAUGUUUGCAUAAAAUCUCUUCAGUAGUAACUUGGUUAAAUUAUUCACAUUGACUCAGCAUAAUUUCUCCCUUGCUAAAUCUCAGACUAAAGCAAUCAAUUUGUUCCUGCAAGAAAGUCUGAUGGUAGGCUUUCCUUGUAACUGAGCCCCAUAGAAAGAGGAAGCAGCUGCAACAAAGUUGAAAAGGAUGCCUGUCACCAAGGUUCUUUUAAGGGAGCCAUUGUGUGAAGUUCUACUUGUGAAAUUUCUGCAAGUACUGUUUGUUCUCCAAAAUCCAGCUUUCCGUUGAAAGUCAAUGAAACAUCUCUAAAAUGCAGACAUACCCAGGUUCAUUGGGAACACAGUCACUGUGAGUAUACAUGAUUAUGUCCUGCUAACCCUAUUGGGAAAGAAUGCUGGGCUUGGCCCUAGUAAGUAGACUUGGGUUAAAGUUCACCUCCGCCACUAACUAGCUGGGAAGUUCAACUUCCCUGAGCUGAGUUUGUCACGUUAGAGAAUAUUAAUAAAUAUGAAAAUUGUGGAGCAGUCUUAAGUUUAAAAGGAACUUUCAUGGACAUUAGCUCAUUUUGCUGUGCCCACCCUGGGAAGGAAGCAGGACAGGCAGGCAGUGGCAUCCCUGUCGUCAAGCAGCCUGAGGACUGCUGUGAGCCUCUGGAGCAAGGCAGGAGUUUGAGGAGGCUCUCAGUCCUUUUGUCCUUUUUUUGAGACAGAGCAUCAUUCUGUUGCCCAGGCUGGAGUGCAAUGGCAUGAUCUUGGCUCACUGCAACCUCUGUCCCCCACCCUUACCACUGGGUUCAAGCAAUUCUUAGGCCUCAGCCUCCUAAGUAGCUGGGACUACAGGAUGCACCACCACGCCCAGCUAAUUUUGGGGGGGUUUUUUUUGAGACGAGUUUCACUCUUGUGGUCCAGGCUGGAGUGUAGUUGCAGUGAGCUGAGAUUGCAUCAUUGCACUCCAGCCUGGGUGACAGAGUGAAACUCCAUCUCAAAAAAAAAAAAAAGAAAAAGAAAAAUGUUAAAAGUCAAGGGAGGCUGGUUGUGGUGGGCUCACGCUGUAAUCCCAGCACUCUGGGAGGCAGAGGCGGGUGGAUCACCUGAGGUCAGGAGUUCAAGACCAGCCUGGCCAACAUGGUGAAACCCCGUCUCUACUAAAAAUACAAAGAAUUAGCCAGGCAUGGUAGCAGGUGCCUGUAAUCCCAGCUACUUGGGAGGCUGAGGUAGGAGAAUCGCUUGAACCCAGGAGGCAGAGGUUGCAGUGAGCCAAGAUCCCACCACUGCACUCCAGCCUGGGGAGCAAGAGCAAAAUUCUGUCUCAAAAAAAAAAAAAAAAAAAAGCCAAGGGAGAUUUAAGAAGUAGGUGAUCCCUGAAUGCACCGCCAACCCACCCAGAUAGGCCUAAAUAUCUGAGCACAGCCAAGGUGUUUGAGCACAACCUCUUCCCAGAUCUUUGGCCACUAAGUUAUGGAGACACAAGGCAACCAUCAGGAAGUCAAGCUAAAACCUAAAGAAUAAAAAAAAUCUGGGUGCAGUAGCUCAACCUGUAAUCCUAGCACUUUGGGACGCCAAGGUGGGAGGAUUAUUUAAGUCCAGGAGUUUGAGACCAGCCUGGGCAACAGAGAGAGAUCUCGUCUUGUCUCUUAAAAAAAAAAAAAAAAAAAAAAAAGGCCAGACACGGUGGUGUGCACCUGUAGUCCCAACAACUUGGGAGGCUGAGAUGGGAGGAUUGCUUGAGCCCAGGAGUUCAAGACUGCAGUGAGCCACUGCACUUCAGGCUGGACAACAGAGCGAGUCCCUGUGUCAAAAAAAAAAAGGAAAAAGAAAAGAAACAAAAAUCUGGGCUGGGUGUGGUGGCUCACACCUGUAAUCCUAGCACUUUGGGAGGCCAAGGUGGGCAGAUCACUUGAGAUCAGGAGUUUGAGACCAGCCAUGGCCAACAUGGUGAAACUCCAUCUCUAUUAAAAAUACAAAAAUUAGCCAGGCAUGGUGGCGUGAACCUGUAGUCCCACUCAUUUUGGGGGCUGAGGUGGGAUUGCUUGAGCCCAGGAGGUCAAGGUUGCCGUGAACUGUGAUUGUGCCACUGCACCCCAGCCUGGGCAACAGAGCAACACCCUGUCUCUGAAAAAAAAAAAAAAAAAAAAAAAAUGCUUAACUGCUCAUCAGAAACAGUAAAGGCUAAAGCCACUGCAAUGGAUAUUCAAAGUGCUGAAAGGAAAAAACAAUCACCCAAUAAUUUUAUAUACAGCAAAACUAGCCUUCAAAAGUGAAGGUGAGGCCGGGUGCGGUGGCUCACACCUGUACUCCCAGCACUGUGGGAGUCUGAAGCAGGAUUGCUUGCGCCCAGGAGGACCAGACCAGCCUCUACAGAAAAAUUUUAAAAAUUAGCCAGACAUGGUGGCACCCACCUGCGGUCCUAGCUACUUGGGAGGCUGAAGUGGGAGAACUGCUUGAGCCCAGGAGGUUGGGGGUACAGUAAGCUAUGUUCAAACCACAGCACUCCAGACUGGGUGACAGACCAAGACCCUGUCCCAAGAAAAAGGUGAAAUAAAGACAUUCUGAGAUUUUUAAAAAGGGAGAAUAAGAGAAUUAUUGCUAGCAGACCUCUCCUAAAAGAGGUACUAAAGGGGCCGGGUGUGGUGGCUCACUCCUGUAAUCUCAGCACUUUCUGAGGCCAAGGCAGGCAGAUCACCUGAGGUCGGAAGUUCGAGACCAGCCUGACCAACAUGGAGAAACCCCAUCUCUACUAAAAAUACAAAAUUAGCCAGGCAUGAUGGCACAUGCCUGUAAUCCCAGCUACUUGGGAGGCUGUGGCAGAAGAAUCGCUUGAACCUGGGAGGCAGAGGUUGUGGUGAGCCGAGAUUGAGCCACUGCACUCCAGCAUGGUUGACAAGAGCAAAAUUCUGUCUCCAAAAAAAAAAAAAAAAGAAGUACUAAAGGAAGUCCUUCAGCCUAAAAGAAAAGGACACUAGAACAAUAUCUUGAAUUCACCAGAAGGCAUGGAGCACUAGAAUGAUGAAGGCAGCUAAAUGUAAAACACUAUAUAUUUCUCUUUUUUUUUUUUUUUUUUUGAGACAGUGUCUUGGUCUGUUGCUCAGACUGGAGUGCAGUGGCACAAUCCCGGCUCACUGAAGCCUCCGCCUCCCGGGUUCAAGCAAUUCUCCUUCCUCAGCCUCCUGAGUAGCUGGGACUACAGGUGCACGCCACCACACCCAGCUAAUUUUUUGUAUUUUUAGUAGAGUCGGGGUUUCACCAAGUUAGCCGGGAUGGUCUCGAUCUCCUGACCUCGUGAUCUGCCCACCUCGGCCUCCCUAUAUUUCUCUUUUAUACUUUAUAUUUUUCUCUCUUUUUUAAUUUUUUAAAAAACAAGGUUGUUUAAACCAGUUAUAACACAUUGCUGGGUUUAUAACAUAUAAAGAUAUAUAUAUAACACAAAGGAAGAGCAAGGGAAGGGUAGUAAAGUUACUGUAUUUUACCAGAAUUUUCAGUAUUGAGCUGAAAUAUACUGUAAUAAGUUAAAGCUACAUACUGCAAUCCCUAGACAACCACACAGAAAGUAACUCAAACAUAUAACUAAAAGGAAAAAACCCUUCAACUUUGGGAUCAGGAUAAUACAUACAUACACAUACACAAAUGUAACACAGAAAAAGGAGUUAAAGAAGCCAGGCGUGGUGGCUCACGCCAGUAAUUCCAGCACUUGGGGAGGCCGAGGCAGGCAGAUCACCUGAGGUCAGGAGCUCAAGACCAGCCUGGCCAACAUGGUGAAACCCUGUCUCUACUAAAAAUGCAAAAAUUAGCCAGUCAUGGUGGCAUGCCUGUAAUCCCAGCUACUUGGCAGGCUUAAAACAGGAGAAUUGCUUUAACCCGUGAGGUGGAGGUUGCAGUGAACUGAGAUGGUGCCACUGCACUCCAGCCUGGGCGACAGAGUGAGACUCCAUCUCAAAAAAGAAUUAAAGAGAAACAAAGGGACAACAAAGAUGAGAAAUAUAGAAAACAAGUAUUAAAAUGUCAUCCAUAUAUUCAACCAUAUCAACAAUUACAUUAAACAUGAAUGGACUAAAUAUUCCAAAGGGCACAGACUGUAAAACUGUAUAAAAAAGCAAGAUUCAACUAUAUGCUAUCUACAAGAGAUCCUUUAGAUUCAAAGACACAAAUAAUAGAGUGAAAGUGAAAAGAUAUACCAUGCAAUCAAGAAUCACAAGAGAGCAGGAAUAGCUAUAUGAACAACAGUCAACAUGGCCUUUUUCCCCAAGUUCUUCCUGCAUACAUUUAACUCAGCAUAGACUUUAAUAGUAGUAUUAAUAUUAGAAACAUAAAGGAACAUUUUAUGAUGAUAAUGGCUAUAUCAAUACAUUAUGAAGAUUUAGCCAUUAUAAAUAUAUACACUGCUAACAUUAGUCUCAAAAACAGAAUUGAAAGGAAAAAUAUACAAUUGAAAAUCCAUGAUAGGCCCAGUACAGUGGCUCAACGCCUGUAAUCCCCGCACUUUGGGAGGCCGAGGCAGGCAGAUCACUUGAGGUGAGGAGUUCGAGACCAGCCUAGCCAACAUAAUGAAAUGCUGUCUCUACUAAAAAAAAAAAAAAAAAAAAAAAAAUUAGCUGGAUGUGGUGGCACUUGCCUGUAAUCCCAGCUACUCAGGAGCCUUAGGCAGGAGAAUCGCUUAAACCUGGGAGGUGGAGCCUGUAGUGAGCCGAGAUCAUGCCAGUGUGAUAUUGAGUCUUGCAAAUCCGUUAACAUGUUACAAUGUCUUAUUUAGAUCUGUAAUUUGCUUCAGCAAUGUUUUGUGGUUUUGAGUGUAUAGGCUUUGGACUUAUUUUAUUAAAUUCAAUAUCUUAUUCCAAAUAUUUUAUUCUUUUGAUGUUAUUGUAAAUGACACUUUUUUUUUUUUGAGACUGAGUCUCACCCUAUUGCCCAGGCUGGAGUGCAGUGGCACCUCCCAGGUUCAAGCAAUUCUCCUGCCUCAGCCUCCUGAGUAGCUGGGAUUUUUAGUAGAGAUGGGGUUUUGCCAGUUUGGCCAGACUGGUCUUGAACUCCUAGGCUCAAGUGAUCUGCCUGCCUUGGCCUCCUAAAAUGCUGGGAUUACAGCCAUGGGCCACUGUGCCCGGCCAUAAUUUUUGAAUUUUUUUUUUUUGGUAGAGAUGGGUUUCCGCCAUGUUGCCCAGGCUGUUCUCCAACCCUGGGCUCAAGUGAUACUCCUGCCUCGGCCUUCCAAAGUGCUGGGACUAUAAGUGCAGGUGUGGACCACCGUGCUUGGCCUUUUUUUUUUUUCUUUUUUUUUUUUGAGACAGGGUUUUGGCUCUGUCACUCAGGCUGGAGUGCAGUGGUACCAUCAUGACUCAUUGCAGCCUCAAUGUCCCAGCCUCAAGCAGUCUUUCCACCUAACCCUCUCGAGUAGCUGGGACUACAGGCAUGCACCACCACACCUGGCUAGUCUUAUUUUUAAUUUUUGUUUUUUUAAGUAGAGAUGGGGGUCUCACUAUGUUGCUCAGGCUGGUCUCCAACUCCUGGGCUCAAGUGAUUCUCCCACCUCAGCCUCCCAAAAUGCUGGGAUUACAGGCGUGAACCGCCAUGCCCAGCAGAAAAAUUGUCAUUGGAAUAAAGUCUGGGGUUUUGUUAAAAGUUUUAUAUCGGCCGGGUGUGGUGGCCCAUGCCUGUAAUCCUAGCACUUUGAGAAGCUGAGGGGGGAGAUUCCCUGAGCUCAGGGAUUCAAGACCAGCCUGGACAAUGCAGUGAAACCCUGUCUCUACUAAAAUACAAAAAAUUAGCUGGGCGUGGUGGCGUGCACCUGUAGUCCUGGCUACUUGGGAGGCUGAGGCAGGACAAUUUCUUGAACCCAGGAGGCAGAGGUUGCAGUGAGCCGAGAUCACGCCACUGCACUCCAGCCUGGGCGACAGGGCGAGACCUGGAGUGCAGGCACAAUUAUGGCUCCCUGCAGCCUUGACCUCCCCAGGUUCAGGUGAUCCUCCCACCUCAGUUUUUCUAUUUUUAGUAGAGCCCUCCACCUCCCGGGUUCAAGCAAUUCUCCUGCCUCAGCCUCCUGAGUAGCUGGGAUUACAGGCAUGUGCCACCACGACGGGUUAAUUUUUGUAUUUUUAGUAGACACAGGGUUAUACCAUGUUGCCCAGGCUGGACUUCAACUCCUGGGCUCAAGUGAUCCACCUGUCUUGGCCCCACAAAGUGCUAGGAUUACAGGUGUGAGCCACCACACCUGGCCAGCAGUUUCUUAAAAAGUUACACUUACCUUAAAACCCAGCAAUCCACUCCUAAGUAUAUGUCUAAAAGAAAUGAAAACAACAGGCUGGGUGUGGUGGCUCACACCUGUAAUGCCAGCACUUUGGGAGGCUAAGGUGGUAGCUCUCCAGACCACCCAGGGCAACAUGGUAAAACCCCGUCUCCACUAAAAAUACAAAAAAAUUAACCGGGUGUGGUGGGGCACACCUCUAGUCCCAGCUACUUGGGAGGCUGAGGCAGGAGAAUCACUUGAGCCCCAGAGGCAAAGGUUUCAGUAAGCCGAGAUCGUGCCACUGCACUCUAGCUUGGGCUACAGAGUGAGACUCCAUCUCACACACACACACACAAAAGAAAUGAAAACAACAAUUUGUACAUGAGUUCAAAACAGAAUUAUUUAUUUCCCAAACUAGAAACAAUCCAAAUGUCUAUCAACAGAUAAAUGGAUAAGCAAAUGAUGACACAAUUGCAUUAAUGGAAUACCACUCAGCAAUGAAAAGGAACAAACCACUCAUACCUACAACACAGAUGAGCCUCAGAAACGUGAUGCUAAGUGAAAGAAGCCAGACCAAAAAAAUUAUAUGCUAUUAUUCCAUUUCUAUGAAAUUUCUGGAAAAGGCAAAAACCAUGCAAAGUAGAUCAGAGGUUGGCUGGGGGUGAGAGCAGAGACUGACUACAAAUAGGCCCAAGGGAACGUUUUGGGGUGAUGGAAGUUUUCUAUAAGUGGAUUAUGGUGAUGGCUACACAACAGUAUAAAUUAAAGGUCAUCCAAAUGUGUACUUACAAUGUUUGAAUUGUAUGACAUGUAAAUUAUCUCAUUAAAUCUGUAUUUUAAAAAAAGAACUGUGCUGUGAAGUUUGACAUAUUUUAAAGUAGGAUGUCUUAGCCGGGCAUGGUGUUGCAUGCCUGUAGUCC
rnacentral:lncRNA from 1 species